UGAGGAAUAUUGGUCAAUGGGCGCAAGCCUGAACCAGCCAUCCCGCGUGAAGGAUGAAGGCCCUAUGGGUCGUAAACUUCUUUUAUACACCAAGAAAAAGCAGGACGAGUCCUGCCCCGACGGUAGUGUAUGAAUAAGCAUCGGCUAACUCCGUGCCAGCAGCCGCGGUAAUACGGAGGAUGCGAGCGUUAUCCGGAUUCAUUGGGUUUAAAGGGUGCGUAGGCGGCUUUUUAAGUCAGUGGUGAAAUCUUGCCGCUUAACGGUAAAAUUGCCAUUGAUACUGAUAAGCUUGAGUACAAUUGAGGUAAGCGGAAUGUGUAGUGUAGCGGUGAAAUGCUUAGAUAUUACACAGAACACCGAUUGCGAAGGCAGGUGGCUACGAUUUGUUUGACACUGAGGCACGAAAGCAUGGGGAGCAAACA
rnacentral:rRNA from 1 species